rnacentral:rRNA from 1 species
AUUGAACGCUGGCGGAAUGCUUUACACAUGCAAGUCGAACGGCAGCACGGGGGCAGCCCUGGUGGCGAGUGGCGAACGGGUGAGUAAUACAUCGGAACGUGCCCGGUCGUGGGGGAUAACGUAGCGAAAGUUACGCUAAUACCGCAUACGAUCUGAGGAUGAAAGCGGGGGACCUUCGGGCCUCGCGCGAUCGGAGCGGCCGAUGUCAGAUUAGGUAGUUGGUGGGGUAAAGGCCUACCAAGCCGACGAUCUGUAGCUGGUCUGAGAGGACGACCAGCCACACUGGGACUGAGACACGGCCCAGACUCCUACGGUAGGCAGCAGUGGGGAAUUUUGGACAAUGGGCGCAAGCCUGAUCCAGCCAUUCCGCGUGCAGGACGAAGGCCUUCGGGUUGUAAACUGCUUUUGUACGGAACGAAAAGGCUCUGGCUAAUACCUGGGGCUCAUGACGGUACCGUAAGAAUAAGCACCGGCUAACUACGUG